GCUGUCUCAAAGAUUAAGCCAUGCAUGUCUAAGUAUAAGCAAUUAUACAGCGAAACUGCGAAUGGCUCAUUAAAUCAGUUAUCGUUUAUUUGAUAGUACCUUACUACUUGGAUAACCGUGGUAAUUCUAGAGCUAAUACAUGCUAAAAACCCCAACUCACGAAGGGGUGUAUUUAUUAGAUUAAAAGCCAAUGCCCUUCGGGGCUCACUGGUGAUUCAUAAUAACUUGUCGAAUCGCAUGGCCUUGUGCCGGCGAUGGUUCAUUCAAAUUUCUGCCCUAUCAACUUUCGACGGCUGGGUCUUGGCCAGCCAUGGUGACAACGGGUAACGGAGGGUUAGGGCUCGACCCCGGAGAACGAGCCUGAGAAACGGCUAUUACAUCCAAGGAAGGCAGCAGGCGCGCAAAUUACCCAAUACCGACUCGGUGAGGUAGUGACGAUAAAUACUGAUACAGGGCUCUUUUGGGUCUUGUAAUUGGAAUGAGUACAAUUUAAAUCCCUUAACGAGGAACAAUUGGAGGGCAAGUCUGGUGCCAGCAGCCGCGGUAAUUCCAGCUCCAAUAGCGUAUAUUAAAGUUGUUGCAGUUAAAAAGCUCGUAGUUGAACCUUGGGCCUGGCUGGCCGGUCCGCCUCACCGCGUGCACUGGUCCGGCCGGGUCUUUCCCUCUGGGGAACCGCAUGCCAUUCACUUGGUGUGUCGGGGAACCAGGACUUUUACUUUGAAAAAAUUAGAGUGUUCAAAGCAGGCCUAUGCUCGAAUACAUUAGCAUGGAAUAAUAGAAUAGGACGUGUGGUUCUAUUUUGUUGGUUUCUAGGACCGCCGUAAUGAUUAAUAGGGACAGUCGGGGGCAUCAGUAUUCAAUUGUCAGAGGUGAAAUUCUUGGAUUUAUUGAAGACUAACUACUGCGAAAGCAUUUGCCAAGGAUGUUUUCAUUAAUCAGGAACGAAAGUUAGGGGAUCGAAGACGAUCAGAUACCGUCGUAGUCUUAACCAUAAACUAUGCCGACUAGGGAUCGGACGAUGUUAUUUUUUGACUCGUUCGGCACCUUACACGAAAGUACAAGUUUCUGGGU
rnacentral:rRNA from 1 species